rnacentral:tRNA from 1 species
GGGGCGGAGCGUCUGUCUAGUAAACAGAAGGUCGCUGGUUCGAUUCCAGCAUGAGGCA